rnacentral:rRNA from 1 species
UGGGGAAUCUUGCGCAAUGGGGGGAACCCUGACGCAGCGACGCCGCGUGCGGGACGGAGGCCUUCGGGUCGUAAACCGCUUUCAGCAGGGAAGAGUCAAGACUGUACCUGCAGAAGAAGCCCCGGCUAACUACGUGCCAGCAGCCGCGGUAAUACGUAGGGGGCGGGCGUUAUCCGGAUUCAUUGGGCGGAAAGCGCGCGUAGGCGGCCCGGCAGGCCGGGGGUGGAAGCGGGGGGCUCAACCCCCCGAAGCCCCCGGAACCUCCGGGGGUUGGGUCCGGGAGGGGAGGGUGGAACACCCGGUGUAGCGGUGGAAUGCGCAGAUAUCGGGUGGAGCACCGGUGGCGCAGGCGGCCCUCUGGGCCGAGACCGACGCUGAGGCGCGAAAGCUGGGGGAGCGAACAGG